AGCCUGACGCAGCGAUGCCGCGUGCGGGAAGAAGGCCUUCGGGUUGUAAACCGCUGUCAGGGGGAACGAAUAAUGACGGUACCCCCAAAGGAAGCCUCGGCUAACUACGUGCCAGCAGCCGCGGUAAAACGUAGGAGGCGAGCGUUAUCCGGAAUUACUGGGCGUAAAGCGUUCGUAGGCGGCUUGGUAAGUCGGUGGUGAAAUCCCCGGGCUCAACCCGGGAACUGCCUUCGAUACUACCAGGCUAGAGCACAUCAGAGGGUGAUGGAAUUCCCGGUGUAGCGGUAAAAUGCUUAGAUAUCGGGAGGAACACCAGUGGCGAAGGCGAUCACCUGGGGUGUGGCUGACGCUGAGGAACGAGAGCCAGGGGAGCGAACGGGAUUAGAUACCCCGGUAGUCCUGGCUGUAAACGAUGGGCACUAAGUGUGGGGAGAUUCGACCCUCUCCGCGCUGCAGCUAACGCAUUAAGUGCCCCGCCUGGGGAGUACGACCGCAAGGUUAAAACUCAAAGAAAUUGACGG
rnacentral:rRNA from 1 species